rnacentral:rRNA from 1 species
GACGAAUGCUGGCGGCGUGCUUAACACAUGCAAGUCGAACGGAAAGGCCCUGCUUGCAGGGUACUCGAGUGGCGAACGGGUGAGUAACACGUGGGUGAUCUGCCCUGCACUUCGGGGUAAGCCUGGGAAACUGGGUCUAAUACCGGAUAGGAACCAUUUUUAGUGUGAUGGUUGGAAAGUUUUUUCGGUGUAGGAUGAGCUCGCGGCCUAUCAGCUUGUUGGUGGGGUAAUGGCCUACCAAGGCGGCGACGGGUAGCCGGCCUGAGAGGGUGGACGGCCACAUUGGGACUGAGAUACGGCCCAGACUCCUACGGGAGGCAGCAGUGGGGAAUAUUGCACAAUGGGCGCAAGCCUGAUGCAGCGACGCCGCGUGGGGGAUGACGGCCUUCGGGUUGUAAACUCCUUUCGCUAGGGACGAAGCUUUUGUGACGGUACCUAGAGAAGAAGCACCGGCUAACUACGUG